rnacentral:lncRNA from 1 species
GAAUCUUGCCUCUGGGACUGCAUCUUCCUGGAGGGGAGGUCUAUUAAGAAUUAACACUAAUGUUUCCUUAUAGCCACGAAGAGGCCCUGGGAUUGACAUUCUAAGUAUUGGAUGCAGUACUUGCAAAGCCAUGGAAGAGUGGAAUAUCAUGACAUAGCUUGUAUAGCAUGCAGUGGAGCUCGUGGAGUUGCCAAAAUGCCAUCACCUGUGCUUUAGGAAGAGCCCUGGUGGCUACAUGAAAGAUGGAUGGAUUGAUGCCGGAGGAGAUGAGACUGGAGUCGAAUUCACUCUAAUGUCAUUCUGGGGCAAAUUUAAGUUACUAACUGAAAUAAACGGGAAGAUCAGACAAUGAAGUAAAGCAGCAUAUUAAGUAGGUUGGAAAAGAUUUCCAUAAGACUUCGCAAAACGGCAUCUGGUAAAUCCAUUCUUGAAUACAAGUGAAGUAAUGAAGAUGCUUAUUGUGGCUUCCUGUUAAUAUUCCAAGGCCUGAGGGUCUGAACAGCAGGAUGUCUGUUCUCC